GAUGAAGAACGUAGCGAAAUGCGAUAAGUAGUGUGAAUUGCAGAAUUCAGUGAAUCAUCGAAUCUUUGAACGCACAUUGCGCCCCUUGGUAUUCCAUGGGGCAUGCCUGUUGGAGCGUCAUUUGUACCUUCAAGCUUUGCUUGGUGUUGGGUGUUUGUCUCGCCUCCGCGUGUAGACUCGCCUCAAAACAAUUGGCAGCCGGCGUAUUGAUUUCGGAGCGCAGUACAUCUCGCGCUUUGCACUCACAACGACGACGUCCAAAAGUACAUUUUUACACUCUUGACCUCGGAUCAGGUAGGGAUACCCGCUGAACUUAAGCAUAUCAAUAAGCGGAGGA
rnacentral:misc_RNA from 1 species